rnacentral:rRNA from 1 species
AAAUUGAAGAGUUUGAUCAUGGCUCAGAUUGAACGCUGGCGGCAGGCCUAACACAUGCAAGUCGAACGGUAACAGGAAGCAGCUUGCUGCUUUGCUGACGAGUGGCGGACGGGUGAGUAAUGUCUGGGAAACUGCCUGAUGGAGGGGGAUAACUACUGGAAACGGUAGCUAAUACCGCAUAAUGUCGCAAGACCAAAGAGGGGGACCUUCGGGCCUCUUGCCAUCGGAUGUGCCCAGAUGGGAUUAGCUAGUAGGUGGGGUAAAGGCUCACCUAGGCGACGAUCCCUAGCUGGUCUGAGAGGAUGACCAGCCACACUGGAACUGAGACACGGUCCAGACUCCUACGGGAGGCAGCAGUGGGGAAUAUUGCACAAUGGGCGCAAGCCUGAUG